rnacentral:lncRNA from 1 species
CGGGGGGGACUACAUUGCCCAACAUUCCUAGCGGGCCCGCCGCGUUAUCGCUCUCUGCGUUGCAUGCUGGGGAAUGUAGUUCCCGCCUCACAGCUGCGCCUCUUUGCCGCCAUGUUUCCAGACUCCCUUUAGCCAGGGCGUGAGAGGAAAAUGGGGAAGAUGAAGGAAAAAUACUCAGCAGAUAACACGGCCUCUCCUGUGAUAAAGAGCCCUGUCCACAUAAUUUCUUUUAUGCCACUUUAUGGGGUGUUUGGUGAGCGGAUGGGGAAAUAAGGAAGUGCAUGUCCCUGCGACACCGGGAUGGGGUUCACGGGGCGACGAGCAGGAGAAAGGAGAUUUGGCAGUCCCCCACUUGUACUCCACAUAAACUCUUUAGGACACGCAGCUUCUCCUCAGCUCAGGGCUGGCAGAGAUCUGAUGUCCAGUCCCUGGCAGAUACUCUGCCUUGUCUCUCCAGUGGUCCUGGAGGCUGCUGUCUCCAGCUGAUCACUUUGGAUCCGGAGAUCUCCAGGACACGACCCACAACCCGUGUCCCUCUGCCUGGGCCCUGCCACCCGCUAAUCACACAAUGCUCCCAGUUCCUGGAUAAGAACCGAGGUGUUUGUUCCUUCCCUGAGCAUCCCGGAUCUCAGCGAUCCCAGUCACACCCCCGGCUCCAGCUGCUCUUCCAGGUUCACUGGAAGGAAAGGAAGAUGCCUGAGUGUCUCUCCUGUGGCACCUUUCCUGCUCUCCAUCAGGACAGCAAGCCAGAUGUGGAGCCCCAGGCUCCAGCAAAGCCCAUCUCAGGGAUGGUUCCCAUCUGGAGCAGGCAUUUUGCUCCCAAGCCCCAGGCAGAGGCACCAAGCAGUGAGGAUUUCCUGCUGCCAGCCAAGCCCAGGGGAAGCACAACACAGAGCCAGCAGAGUUUUACCUUUGAAUUUGACCACCAUGUCCACAACCAGCUGGCUCAUGUCAGAGACACUCUCAAUGCUCCUCUGCAGCUCCAGGAAAACCAGCUCUGGGACUGGGGCUGCCUCACAGCUGAGGGGAACAAAAGGGAGAGGAGCUCUGAGCCCAGCCACCAGCCAGGCCCAGGAAGGAAACAGGGAAAUCCCUACAGCCACAGAACCCAGAGCAGCUGUGCCCAGCUAUCAGCACAGGAACCCCAUCUUUAGGAGGGGUGCAGUGGCAUCUGGUUCCUGGGAGCAUCACAUGAAAUCCCAAAUACUCAGCAGGGCAAACCACCUCCCUCCUGGCUCCUGCAGCGCUCCCACACCUCUGCCCAAAGGAGCUGUGCAGGAGGAGAGGGACACCAAGCCUGUUUCAAACCUGCUCAGGAUUUUGCCAGCAUCCUGCAAGAGAGAAAACACAGGAACUGCUGCAGCUCCUCAAAGGUCUCGGGCACCUGCUGCAGCUCCAACAUCUCCAUCACCUGCAAGGCACCACACGGAGGCCCUGAGCCCGCCCAGCCUCCAGCUGCCUCCACAGGGACACAGCUGCUGCAGAGAGGGGACAAGGAUCACACACAAGGGGAGCAGAGGUUUUGUACAGCACGAGUGGAAAGAAUGGAGAGAGAGAGUCUGCAUGUUGAUGAGCUCAAGGAGGCCAUAUGAGAUGGAUAGAGAGGGAGAGAGAAAAGAACACUGUCAUGGAUUAGGAGGUAAGCAUAUAUGGGGAGAGGGAACAAUGGGACAUUCCUGGGGAGCCAGGUGGGUGAGCAGUGGGGGGCAUGGAGAGGAUCACACACCAGCAGGUCAUCACUUUUUGGGUCUUCUUUGAGCUUCAAUUUUUCCUUCUGUUUUUGUAGAAAAAGCAGGCUGCUCUGGAGCGUCUCUUAGGGCAGAGAUUAAAAAAAAGCAUUUCUGGUAAUUUUGGAGUGACAUUCACAGGAGGGAGAUGAUGUCACCAAACAACUCCUGUGGGGAGAAUCCCAGUGUGGGGAGUCACUAGGGGUGACCCCUGAGUGCCUGGGAGUGGGUUUUGAGCUCAGAGACAGCACACACCUCUCCAAACUCACUUUAGUCAGGCUGGGGAGAGCCCCAUCCACAGCUCUUAUGGCCAGAAACAUUUCUGGAAUAACUUCAUGUAGAAUCCCUGGAGUUUGCGGUUUGGGUUUGUUUUUUUUAAAUUUUUAUUUAAUAAGAAAAAACAACUUUUGACAUUGGAAGUGGGAUUUCUGGGAAGAGGUUUGCAGUGACAGUAGCAGUUACUCAGACAUGCUCCAUAAAUUUGCUGGAGUUUUAAAAAACUCCUCAUGCUCUGAGUUAUCUCUUGCGUUGCAGUGAGCUGAGCCCACAUUGAGGGGCAGAAACCCUGGCUGGGGACAUCUGGGGCACAAGGGACCAUAUGGGGACACAGAGGGGUGAGCAGUGAGAGGGUCCUGGGCUCUUGGGUGGGCUGGGCCAGGUGAUGGGAGAACCAGCAGCCCCAGCAGGGUGGGAUACAGGACCCCAGCCCACAGAUGGGGACCCCAAACUCCAGACAGGGUAGCAGCUGGGCGAGGCCCCAAAUCCGUGGCCCAAAUCCUAGGGGACACACCCUAACCUGUGUGUGGAGGGGAAGCAGAGCAGUGCCCUGAGAGAAGCCCAGACCGUGCUCAGAGGAGACCCACCCAUGCAUGGAGGGGACCCAGACCCAUACCCAGAGCAGCUCACGCCCACAGCAGACCCCAGACGUAUGUCCAGACAGGACACUAACCUGUACCCAGAGGGGACCCUGCCGGUGCCUGGAGUCGAUCCCAACCUGUGGCCGAGCCCGAUCUGUGCCCCUCGGCCACCCC